rnacentral:rRNA from 1 species
AACGUAGGUGGCGAGCGUUAUCCGGAAUUACUGGGCGUAAAGCGUGUGCAGGCGGGCUAGCAAGUGGUGUUUGAAAGCUCCCGGCUCAACCGGGAAGGGUUAUGCCAGACUGCUAGUCUUGAGUCCGAGAGAGGAUGGCGGAAUUCCUAGUGUAGAGGUGAAAUUCGUAGAUAUUAGGAAGAAGACCGGUGGCGAAGGCGGCCAUCUGGCUCGGUACUGACGCUCAGGCGCGAAAGCGUGGGGAGCAAACAGG